AAUCCCUCACUGCUCUCAGGAAUGUGGAGAGUGUAAGGAAGCCAGGAAAGCCUCAGCUACAUCAGGAGAACAAGCAGGGAAUUAUUUCUAGAAGAGCUUUCCUGGUAAAUGAAUGAGAGCAGGGUUCCCUUCUCCCUAGCACUGCUAGCCAGCAUGGCUCUGGCUGGGUGUUUCCUCUGUGUUUGGUAGGGUGCUUAGUGACAGAGCUGGUCUCUACCCACUAGAGGCCAGUAUCGCCCUUCGGGUUUCAACUAUGACAACCAGCGAUGUUCCGACAUUGGCAAGUGCAGAGUCACCGCAUGGCAGGGAGGGAAGCUUGGCCUCCACCUGAGAGCCAGGGGCUUAAACAAACCCAGGGAACAGCAUGAUUCCUCUCUUUUAUGAACGGAGAAACCAAGCUCUAGAGAACCGUCAGAUGUUCUAUAGAUUUUAGGCAUCAGAAAUCCAUACCACUCUAAGCAUAAACAGGGAGCAUAUUGACCGUGGCAGUUCAGAGAAACGUUGCGCAGACUCCCAGGAUGGAGUGACCCAUCAGGCUUCUAGUCCUGCAACCCAGAGCUCAAGCCUACUUCUGCUUCCUCCUGACUGCUCUGGGUGUGACGGCUGGUGCCCAUCGCCUGUGGAGCCACAGGUCCUACAAGGCCAGCUGCCUCUCGGGAUAUUUCUGGAGUUAGCUGCUGCUAACUCCAAGGCUUUCCAGCUGGGGAUGGAGGUCUCCUGGGCACCAGCUAGCAAUGUGAUAGGACAGAAAAGAUGGGCUUAUCCUUCUCUUCCCUCGCCUCGGCCCAAUGCCCGACCUCAAACACUCUCAGGCUGCUAUGGUUUUCAGUUUUUUAACGUCCUGGAGCUUUAGAUAUAAUAAAUGUGUCUAGGGGAUUUUGUGCUUCAGGUCAUGCUGCCAAGGAGGGAAGGAGACUUCUCCAUCCAGAAUCCAUGCUGUGAAGAUAACCUUGAUGCCUUAGCAUUAGUCCUGUGUGUGUUUUACAUUUGAGCUUCACAGUACCCCAUGAGCUAGUUGUUAUGGGGACCCCAUUUUAUAGACAAGGAAACUCAUGGGUUUCAAGUAGCCCAGGCUAGCCUCACAUUGAUUAUGAAGUUGGGGAUGGCUUUGAACUCCUGAUCCUCCUGCCUGUGCCUCCCAAGUGCUGGGAUUAGAGGCACGCACCGCCACAGGCAGCGUGUGUGGUGCUGAGGUGAACUCGUGCGUGCUAGGCAGGUAGUCUACAAACUAUGUCAUAUCCCUGUACCCCAAAGCAGUGGUCCUCAACCUUCCUAAUGCUGUGACCCCCUAACACAGUUCCUCGUGUUGUGGUGACCCCCAACCAUAAAAUCAUUUGUAUUGCUACUUCAUAACUGUCAUUUUGCUCCUGUUAUGAAUCAUAAUGUAAACAUUUUUGGAGAGAGAGGUUUGCCAACAGGCUUGCGACCCGCAGGUUGAGAACUGCUGCCCUAAAUGAUACCUACUAAAGUUAAAGAACCUACUCGAUGUAUGGAGGUGAAGUGUGUGACAUCCAGGCCCAGCAAAUGAAGAUCUUCUUACUCCGAAGCUAUCACACUUGGAAAACCUAGUCCUUCAAUCGCCCUGCCAAAUCAUGGUGGGAGGUCUGUUGGAUCUGGAGCCCAGGAUUCAGGGACUUAACUCUGACAGAUGCUAGCUGUGAAUCACACAUCCUCUCUAGUUUGUUCCUCUGCAAAAAUAAGAGCGCCUUCAUUGCCAGGGUUGUUACGUAAUCACUGAGGGUUACUGAGUGCUAUGGAAACUUAAGACACCGUUCACCUUGCGCUGGAACUGGGCUGUGUCCUUCAGGGCAUUCCGGCCCUAGACCCUCCCCCACCUUGGACACUUUCUGAGCUGCUGGAAUUUUGGUUUGACCAUAGAUUUUUGUUUCCCCAAUUCCUCAUCUGAUCCAGGCUGCUGGGGUCGGAACAACUGUUUUCCGAGUUUCUACCCAUGUUUACCUACAGACCACUCUAGGCCUGGUUUAUUUUCACCCAUCCAGAAGGAACGGUGGUUUAAAAUCCAGGGAAACAAGCAACCUAGGAGCCUCCUCGUGGCCUCAGACACACACACCUGAAAUGGGUCUCCUAUCCCUCCAAAAAUCUGACCCAAAUGGUUCUCUAGCUGUCCUCAUGGCUGAGAAUUUACUCCCCCACUUUCGGCCUCUCUACAGUUGGGUUGUUCAUAAAGCGAACAGGGUGGCACACAACGGCUCAGUCUGGGAAAUGCAGUCAGCAGGAGGGGCACAGACUCCUAAUUCAAGCACAGCCAGGACUUCCCACCAGGGUCCCGGGAAUAUACCGCUGAGCACGGAGAAGCAGCCAGUGGCCUCUGGGCUCCAUUUCGUUUGCAGCGUGAACUCUGUGCCUUUUCCUUCAGGUUCAGCCAUCAUCUUACUGCUGUGCUGUGCUUUGUUUCUGUCAUAGAUUAGAAACUCAUUGACUGAGAUCUGAGGCACCACUCAGGACUUAGGAUGUUUAUUUAUUUUCUUCAAGCAGUUUAUUGUAUUUAGCUUCCAGUUACACAGUCGUGUAGUAAUAAAACACUCCGAUUAUUGGAAUGUUUUUCCAAGAUAAAUAACUUGUAGUUGAAA